UUAGGUAGUAAGGGCGGACGGUGGAUGGCUUGUCACUUGGAGUCGAUGAAGGAGGGGACUAUCGCCGAUUUGCUUGGGGGAGCUGUAAGUAAGGUUUGUUCCGAAGAUUUCCGAAUGGGGAAACCCACGAUACGGAAUGGGAUGGUAUCCUUAUCUGAAGACAUAGGGUAAGGAGGACUGACGCAGGGAACUGUAACAUCUACGUGCCGGGAGGAAGAGAAAGAAAGUGCGG
rnacentral:rRNA from 1 species